GACGAACGCUGGCGGCGUGCUUAACACAUGCAAGUCGAACGGAAAGGCCCUGCUUUUGUGGGGUGCUCGAGUGGCGAACGGGUGAGUAACACGUGAGUAACCUGCCCUUGACUUUGGGAUAACUUCAGGAAACUGGGGCUAAUACCGGAUAGGAGCUCCUGCUGCAUGGUGGGGGUUGGAAAGUUUCGGCGGUUGGGGAUGGACUCGCGGCUUAUCAGCUUGUUGGUGGGGUAGUGGCUUACCAAGGCUUUGACGGGUAGCCGGCCUGAGAGGGUGACCGGCCACAUUGGGACUGAGGUGCGGCCCAGACUCCUACGGGAGGCAGCGGUGGGGAAUAUUGCACAAUGGGCGGAAGCCUGAUGCAGCAACGCCGCGUGCGGGAUGACGGCCUUCGGGUUGUAAACCGCUUUCGCCUGUGACGAAGCGUGAGUGACGGUAAUGGGUAAAGAAGCACCGGCUAACUACGUG
rnacentral:rRNA from 1 species